rnacentral:lncRNA from 1 species
UACUCUGUAUAAAUAAGUUAUGUGCACUUUGCAUUGAGGUGGGUUGAGGGAUUGAGGCGCGGUGCGACUGUGUAAAACUUUUAACAGUAUAGUAUAUAAACAAGUAAAUGAUAUUAACCAAGUUGCAGUUGCAGAAAACUCAUACGAACGCCGAAGACAAACAAAAAGCGAAAAUAAGUACGAACGAUAAAAACAAGAAUUGUUUAAAAAUUUUGAUGAUACGGCGAAAGCAGCGAUAUGACGAUAUGACAAAACUCCAACCAAAAGCAGUUGAAGGAGCAGUUUAAAGCCAAGUUUGUCGACCGGCCGAUGAGCUAGCCGGGACAUAUGGAAAGUGAAGAACAUAUGUAUAAAAGCAGCAAAAUAUACUCGUGAAUGCACUGUACGCAGUGAGGAAGAGACUGAAUAACAUUUCUUUGGCUGACGAAUCCCCAACCAAGUGCACCAACAAUAUAAUCCCCCCAACAGAAGAAGAGGCAGCAGCAACAGCA